rnacentral:rRNA from 1 species
UACGUAUGGGGCAAGCGUUAUCCGGAUUUACUGGGUGUAAAGGGAGCGUAGGCGGCGGGGCAAGCCUGAUGUGAAAGCCCGGGGCUCAACCCCGGGACUGCAUUGGGAACUGCCCUGCUGGAGUGCCGGAGGGGCAGGCGGAAUUCCUAGUGUAGCGGUGGAAUGCGUAGAUAUUAGGAGGAACACCAGUGGCGAAGGCGGCCUGCUGGACGGUGACUGACGCUGAGGCUCGAAAGCGUGGGGAGCAAACAGG